rnacentral:ncRNA from 1 species
CCUGUGAUGUGCAGCUGAACUGUCAGAAGUCAGCAGAGGCCAUAGUACCAGUAAUGGGAAGG